GAUGAACGCUGGCGGCGUGCCUAAUACAUGCAAGUCGAGCGAACGGACGAGAGGCUUGCUUCUCUGAUGUUAGCGGCGGACGGGUGAGUAACACGUGGAUAACCUACCUAUAAGACUGGGAUAACUUCGGGAAACCGGAGCUAAUACCGGAUAAUAUUUUGAACCGCAUGGUUCAAAAGUGAAAGACGGUCUUGCUGUCACUUAUAGAUGGAUCCGCGCUGCAUUAGCUAGUUGGUAAGGUAACGGCUUACCAAGGCAACGAUGCAUAGCCGACCUGAGAGGGUGAUCGGCCACACUGGAACUGAGACACGGUCCAGACUCCUACGGGAGGCAGCAGUAGGGAAUCUUCCGCAAAGGGCGAAAGCCUGACGGAGCAACGCCGCGUGAGUGAUGAAGGUCUUCGGAUCGUAAAGCUCUGUUAUUAGGGAAGAACAUAUGUGUAAGUAACUGUGCACAUCCUGACGGUACCUAAUCAGAAAGCCACGGCUAACUACGUG
rnacentral:rRNA from 1 species